rnacentral:rRNA from 1 species
AUUGAACUCUGGCGGCAGGCUUAACACAUGCAAGUCGAACGAGUGGCGGACGGGUGAGUAAUGCUUGGGAAACUGGCUUAUGGAGGGGGAUAACGACGGGAAACUGUGGAUAAAACCGCGUACAAUAGGAUGUGCACAAGUGGGAUUAGGUAGUUGGUGGGGUAAUGGCCUACCAAGGAGACGAUCUCUAGCUGGUCUGAGAGGAUGACCAGCCACACCGGGCCUGAGACACGGCCCGGACUCCUACGGGAUGCAGCAGUGGGGAAUAUUGCGCAAUGGGGGCAACCUGACGCAGCCAUGCCGCGUGAAUGAAGAAGGCCUUCGGGUUGUAAAGUUCUUUCGGUGCCGAGGCGUUAAUCACAGAAGAAGCACCGGCUAACUCCGUGCCAGCAGCCGCGGUAAUUC